GACGAACGCUGGCGGCGUGCUUAGCACAUGCAAGUCGAACGGAAAGGCCCUGCUUUUGUGGGGUGCUCGAGUGGCGAACGGGUGAGUAACACGUGAGUAACCUGCCCUUGACUUUGGGAUAACUUCAGGAAACUGGGGCUAAUACCGGAUAGGGGCUCCUGCUGCAUGGUGGGGGUUGGAAAGUUUCGGCGGUUGGGGAUGGACUCGCGGCUUAUCAGCUUGUUGGUGGGGUAGUGGCUUACCAAGGCUUUGACGGGUAGCCGGCCUGGGAGGGUGACCGGCGACAUUGGGCCUGAGGUACGGAGCAGAAUCCAACGGGAGGCAGCAGUGGCGAAUAUUGCGCAAUGGGCGGGAGCCUGAUGCAGAGACGCCGCGUGCGGGAUGACGGCCUUCGGGUUGUAAACCGCUUUCGCCUGUGACGAAGCGUGAGUGACGGUAAUGGGUAAAGAAGCACCGGCUAACUACGUG
rnacentral:rRNA from 1 species